CCCUGUAUUCCAAAGUGAUUGUGGGCUGCCAUGCCCUGGUCAUUGAUACUGCAGUGAGAGGAUUCGGAAAGCUUUUCCCUGUGUUUAGGGGAUUCACAUUCGUACUUGCCAAACCCUGGUGUUUUCCCACA
ensembl:snoRNA Gm22797 predicted gene, 22797